UACGGAGGGGGCUAGCGUUGUUCGGAAUUACUGGGCGUAAAGCGCACGUAGGCGGCUUUGCAAGUUAGAGGUGAAAGCCCGGGGCUCAACUCCGGAAUUGCCUUUAAAACUGCAUCGCUAGAAUUGUGGAGAGGUAAGUGGAAUUCCGAGUGUAGAGGUGAAAUUCGUAGAUAUUCGGAAGAACACCAGUGGCGAAGGCGGCUCACUGGACUGGUAUUGACGCUGAGGCACGAAAGCGUGGGGAGCAAACAGG
rnacentral:rRNA from 1 species